rnacentral:rRNA from 1 species
UCGGGAAUUUUGGGCAAUGGGCGAAAGCCUGACCCAGCAACGCCGCGUGAAGGAUGAAGUAUUUCGGUAUGUAAACUUCGAAAGAAUAGGAAGAAUAAAUGACGGUACUAUUUAUAAGGUCCGGCUAACUACGUGCCAGCAGCUGCGGUAAUACGUAGGGACCAAGCGUUGUUCGGAUUUACUGGGCGUAAAGGGCGCGUAGGCGGCAAUUCAAGUCAUCUGUGAAAUCUCCGGGCUUAACUCGGAACGGUCAGAUGAUACUGCUUUGCUAGAGUGCAGAAGGGGCAAUCGGAAUUCUUGGUGUAGCGGUGAAAUGCGUAGAUAUCAAGAGGAACACCUGAGGUGAAGACGGGUUGCUGGGCUGACACUGACGCUGAGGCGCGAAAGCCAGGGGAGCAAA